ACAUGUAAGACAUCCACAGCAGCAUGGUGUGAAUCCCCUCCUUUCCAAGCCCACUGGCCACUUGGAGAUAGAGCCACCUGAGCUCAGACAGCAUCCCAGAAACACCAACACUGGCUCUUUCUCUUCUCAAAUAAAGCAGAUCAGGACACAGGACAGACUGCCUCUGGGAAACCUGUGGGUCCAAUCCCACCAGCUGCACCAGGGAAGGAAUACCUUUGCUGCCAUCACUGUGUUUUCCAGUGCCACUAUUUUAGAAACCCAAGCAUCUUGCUCCGGUAGCCACUGUCACAGGUGAAGAGCAAAAGAGGACAGAGAAUGACUGACUGACUGACUGCUUCAGAAAUCUGCCACAUUUGGAAGUUCCCAAGUCUCUCUUGCGCCCCGAUCCUGGCAAAUGACCUAGAUUCCUUGGAGAAGAAAUUUAAUCACUCACAGGGAGCUGAUGCUGAAAAGAUCACAAUAUUUGUUCUCUGAUCCAGUCACAAAGACGUCAUCAAGCUUACAGCACUCCAACUCCUCCUGAAUAAUCUGCACAGAAAUAUCAUCCAGGAAGCUCUGUUCAGAGAAUGGGAAUGUGCAAAUACUAUGCUGAGAUUUUCAGCUCCAUGGGCAUGUGACACUGUUUUAAUUUUAUGUUCAGUGUCCCAGCCAGAAAUCUCAUGUGGCAGCUGGUCUCCAGAAUUCUGUAAUAUGAUAAUUAAAUGUCUGCCUAUAAACAAGUGUUUGUAUUACAAGUGCUUUCCCAUGGUAUUUAUCUGUACAGCAGGAAUCUGAGGCAGGCACAGAGGCAGUAGCAGUUUUUCUUGGGUCUAAGCAAGUCUCCUAUCCCAAGAGAAAUAGAAUAGCA